rnacentral:hammerhead_ribozyme from 1 species
CAACUGACGAGUCCCAAAUAGAACGAAACGCGCGUCCUG